CCAGACUCCUACGGGAGGCAGCAGUGGGGAAUUUUGGACAAUGGGCGCAAGCCUGAUCCAGCUAUUCCGCGUGUGGGAUGACGGCCCUCGGGUUGUAAACCACUUUAGUAGAGAACGAAAAGGAGCUAUCGAAUAAAUAGCUCUGCUGACGGUACCCUAAGAAUAAGCACCGGCUAACUACGUGCCAGCAGCCGCGGUAAUACGUAGGGUGCGAGCGUUGUCCGGAAUGACUGGGCGUAAAGGGAGUGUAGGCGGCCUUUUAAGUUAUGUGUGAAAGCCCACGGCUCAACUGUGGAAUUGCACAUAAAACUGGGAGGCUGGAGUGCAGGAGAGGUAAGCGGAAUUUCCAGUGUAGCGGUGGAAUGCGUAGAUAUUGGGAAGAACACCGGAGGCGAAGGCGGCUUACUGGACUGUAACUGACGCUGAGGCUCGAAAGCGUGGGGAGCAAACAGGAUUAGAUACCCUUGUAA
rnacentral:rRNA from 1 species